UACGGGGGGGGCAAGCGUUGUUCGGAAUUACUGGGCGUAAAGGGCUUGUAGGCGGCCAACUAAGUCAUACGUGAAAUCCCUCGGCUUAACCGGGGAACUGCGUCUGAUACUGGAUGGCUUGAAUCCGGGAGAGGGAUGCAGAAUUCCAGGUGUAGCGGUGAAAUGCGUAGAUAUCUGGAGGAAUACCGGUGGCGAAGGCGGCAUCCUGGACCGGCAUUGACGCUGAUGAGCGAAAGCUAGGGGAGCAAACGGG
rnacentral:rRNA from 1 species